GAGGGUACAGCUCAGUGGCAGAGCGUGUGCUUAGCAUGCAUGGGUCCUGGGUUUGAUCCCCAGUGCUUCCA
rnacentral:tRNA from 1 species